rnacentral:tRNA from 1 species
GCCCCGGCAGCAUAAGUGGAUAAUGCUCUUCCCUCACUAAGAAGCCGAUACAGGUUCAAAUCCUGUCCGGGGCG